rnacentral:sRNA from 16 species
GUCUCCAAAAAAAAAAAAAAAAAAAAAAAAUGCAAAUCAAAAUACUACAACGCGUAACGAUCAUUGACGGCCCCCAAGCAAUUUCGA